GACGAACGCUGGCGGCGUGCUUAACACAUGCAAGUCGAACGGAAAGGCCCUGCUUUUGUGGGGUGCUCGAGUGGCGAACGGGUGAGUAACACGUGAGUAACCUGCCCUUGACUUUGGGAUAACUUCAGGAAACUGGGGCUAAUACCGGAUAGGAGCUCCUGCUGCAUGGUGGGGGUUGGAAAGUUUCGGCGGUUGGGGAUGGACUCGCGGCUUAUCAGCUUGUUGGUGGGGUAGUGGCUUACCAAGGCUUUGACGGGUAGCCGGCCUGAGAGGGUGACCGGCCACAUGGGGACUGAGAUACGGCCCAGACUCGUACGGGAGGCAACAGGGGGGAAUAUUGCACAAUGGGCGGAAGCCUGAUGCAGCAACGCCGCGUGCGGGAUGACGGCCUUCGGGGUGUAAACCGCUUUCGCCUGUGACGAAGCGUGAGUGACGGUAAUGGGUAAAGAAGCACCGGCUAACUACGUG
rnacentral:rRNA from 1 species